rnacentral:tRNA from 11 species
GUCCCCGGCGUUGACUUCAAAUCCGGCGUGGGGCGGGGG